rnacentral:rRNA from 1 species
UAGGGAAUCUUCGGCAAUGGGGGGAACCCUGACCGAGCAACGCCGCGUGAGUGAAGAAGGUUUUUGGAUCGUAAAGCUCUGUUGUUAAGGAAGAAAGAGUGUGAGAAUGGAAAGUUCAUGCUGUGACGGUACUUAACCAGAAAGGGACGGCUAACUACGUGCCAGCAGCCGCGGUAAUACGUAGGUCCCGAGCGUUGUCCGGAUCUAUUGGGCGUAAAGCGAGCGCAGGCGGUCAAUUAAGUCUGAUGUGAAAGCCCCCAGCUCAAGCGGGGAGGGUCAUUAGAAACUAGUUGACUUGAGUGCUGAAGAGGAGAGUGGAAUUCCAUGGGUAGCGGUGAAAUGCAUAGAUAUAUGGAGAAACACCAGUGGCGAAGGCGACUCUCUGGUCUGUAACUGACGCGGAGGUUCGAAAGCGUGGGUAGCAAACAGG